CAGAGAAGCAACCAGACCGAAGCAUCGUGGUCUGAUCCACCUCCCUCAUCACGUAUAUUUCUAAGGCCUGAGGAUACUCACCCGAAGUGGGAGUCAGUCUUUGACAUUGUCACCUCCUAAAGUAUUGUUCACCCAAGCAUACUUGACGAGGGGGAUCCAUCAGAGUCAAAAAGUCUUCAAUAAUGGCUUUAGCAGUAAGCCCAUGAGUCAAGGUACAAAAUCGACGUUAUACUACAUUGCCGCUGUGGGUGUUUUAGCACUUGGUCUGAGUUACGCUGCAGUUCCACUCUACCGAAUAUUUUGUCAGGCAUACAGCUAUGGAGGGACCACCCAGCAAGGUCAUGAUGCUGAAAAGGUUGAAUCCAUGCAGAAAAGAGAGGAUCGUAUUCUUAGAAUUCGCUUUAAUGCAGACACAGCAGCUUCUAUGACAUGGAAUUUUAAACCACAGCAGAGCGAAAUAAAGGUUGCUCCAGGGGAAACAGCUUUAGCUUUCUACACUGCAAGAAAUCCUACAGAUCGUCCAGUUAUUGGUGUCUCCACUUACAAUGUUAUUCCAUUUGAUGCUGGUCUUUACUUUAAUAAAAUACAAUGCUUCUGCUUUGAAGAGCAGUUACUCAACCCCCAUGAAGAGGUACACAUGCCUGUGUUCUUCUACAUAGACCCAGAGUUUGCAGAUGACCCCAAAAUGGAGGGUGUAGACACAUUGACUUUAUCCUACACCUUCUUUGAAGCACGUGAAGGUGUACCACUACCAAUCCCCAAUUUUGCAAGAAAAUAGUUUUUUAUUCUUCUUCUUUCUUUCUUUCUUUUUGUAUUAUUAGCAAGACCUGGAAGUUUUGAACAAGGUAUUGCACAAAGAUUAUGCUUUUAUUUUAAUAAAUAAAGAUCUAAUAGUAAAUGUGAGUUAGUUUGGUUGUUGUCUACAAGGAAAUUAAUUGUUGGGAAAGGUAAUUCAUGAUAGGUUAUUCCUUGACGAACAUGUAAGAAAGAAUAAAAUAUUGUGAAUUUGUUUUACACAUUUGGAAAGUUAUCUGUUACAAUCAAUAGUUUAGCAAUAUUAUCGUAAUCAGUAUCACAAUUACAUAUUCAGAAAUUUGCUUAUAUUACAUCUUAAUAAUCCUUGGUUCAAGCACCAAAUCAGGCACUUUAUAUUACAGAAACCCUUAUUUUUGCAUUGAUAUAAAUCAAAAUCUUGUUAUGCAUUGCUUAAUAUGACUCAUUAAAAAUGUAUUAGGGGAUGAAUUGAUCUGACGCAAUCAGAAUACUAUAGAAAUAGAAGAAUCAGAUACAGAGAAUUUCAUCUAAAUACUCAAGCUUUCUGUUGAGGAUAAUAUAACUACCAAAAUAACAGGGUAAUUUUUUUUAUGAAUAUGUUGGAAACAAAUGGAUAAAUUGUGUCAUGUAUGAUACAUGCUGUAUUCCCUUGUUCCUUUACAAGCAUACUGAAUAUGACUAUUUAAAUCCAUACCAGGUAAUAGGGUACUGAAUUUGAUUGUUAUAUAAGCUAGUAUAUUACCUGAAGUUUGUACUAGAAUAUUCUUUCAACAACUGCAAGUUUUACAAGGGGAAAGUUACAGAAAACAAUUAACAAAAAAAAUAUUUGUGUAUAUAUGUAUAUUGUGUAUCAUAAAUUAUUAAAUACACCAAAUAUGA
rnacentral:misc_RNA from 1 species